GUUGGCGGCACGCUUAAUACAUGCAAGUCGAACGAGAAACUUGGUUCGCCAAGUGGACAGUGGCAGACGGUUGAGUAACGCGUGGGAAUCUACCUAGAGGUUCGGAAUAACUAUUGGAAACGAUAGCUAAUACCGGAUAAGCCCUUCGGGGGAAAGAUUUAUUGCCUUUAGAUGAGCCCGCGUCGGAUUAGCUAGUUGGUAAGGUAACGGCUUACCAAAGCUACGAUCCGUAGCUGAUCUGAGAGGAUGAUCAGCCAGAUUGGGACUGAGACACGGCCCAGACUCCUACGGGAGGCAGCAGUAGGGAAUAUUGCGCAAUGGGGGAAACCCUGACGCAGCGAUGCCGCGUGAGUGAAGAAGGCCUUAGGGUUGUAAAACUCUUUCAGUGGUGAAGAUAAUGACGGUAACCACAGAAGAAGCUCCGGCUAACUCCGUGCCAGCAGCCGCGGUAAUACGGAGGGGGCUAACGUUGUUCGGAAUUACUGGGCGUAAAGCGCGCGUAGGCGGAUUAGACAGUUGAGGGUGAAAUCCCGGAGCUUAACUUCGGAACUGCCCCCCA
rnacentral:rRNA from 1 species